AUUCCUGGAAAUGCAAUCAAAGUACAAUUUCAAAAGCAUAUCAAAGACACCACAAUCCACAAACUACUGUCAACUGAGCCCCCAGUAAUGUUUUCCUCAGAUGUUCUUUUUCCUGGCAGAGACAUGAGAAUGAAAAGCAACAGGCCCAAGUAGAAUCAAGAGGUGUUCAGACUGGAUAUAAGGAGAAACUUUUGCAUGGAUAAAGCCAUCAGCUAGAUCAUCAGCUGAGAUGUGGUUGGGCUUCUUUUUAUUCGCCUGCUCAUCUAUCCCACGCAUGCGACGGAGUCGAUCUGCCUGUGGUUUAGAAGGAACACCACACAGAGCUUGGAGUCAUCUAGAUCAGCUGGGUAACUACACCAGAGUGGAAGCUGUAGCUAAGAAAAAAACCUCAAACCCAACCAAACAAAAAUGCAAAGGGCAAUAAACUUAACUAGAAUUACUCAAAUUGUAGAGAAGAAAAGCCAGAGACACAAGAACUUCUGGGCAAAAGCUGGUGACACCUUAUUUCUUGUAGGGAGUGCAUCUGGUAAGAGCACAUAGGCAGCUGCAUGAGCUUGUCUCCAAGGCUUGCACACUGGGUUUGCCAGAAUUGGUUUGUUCUCUCCUUUUAAAAUGUCUCUGCUUUGCCUAUGAGAAAAUGCAUCAUCCCCAGGAAAUACAAGCUUCUGUAUUGCUUUAUGAUUCUGCAGAGCUUGUGCUUUCCAUACAUGUAACAAGUCUCUGGCAAACACAA